AGGAUGUUCUGCUAUUGUCUGCCAGCUCUCCUUGGGUGGAUGUCCUUUUGCAGGUCCCCCUCUGAAACUGCACCGUGCACGACACAAAACGUGCCAGGUCUUCUGGACAGCGGGAACAAAGGCAGCCAGAGCCAAACUGUUCAUCUAAAUAAAGCAACAAACAUCACAGUAAUAGGAGCCACUGAAUAACAAAUCCAAUCUGCUCAAGGGAUUUAUGGCUCUACCAAAAGAGAAGAAAAAAAGAAGCUCUAGAAACUGAAAAGCAAAAAAAAAAAAUUAGUGUAAAAACCCCUGGUACUUUAUAUUUGCAGACACAUAUCAGGCUUUGGUGCCCAACAAAGAUCUAGCAGAAAAGGUUGUUUUUGUGAAAGACUGGGCACCAGCUGCUAUUAAAAUUUCAGUAACACUUCAGAUACUACCUCAACAGUCCCCACACACAGCCUUGGAGGAUAAAUCUUUUUUUGCACUCCUGUUAUUCCCUGUAACACAAGACAGAAGGAGCAGCAAUGCAUGCAUGCACAUGCAGGCUUAUUUCAAGGCAUCUGUGCUUUCAUAAAGCAGAAAAGGACACAAAUUUGGUCGGAAAAUAUAUGUAUCAUCUUUAAAAAGAUUACAACAAAGGGACUGAAGACAUUAAUGAAAAGGCAUCUAUGUGUUAAUUUUUAGGUUUCAGGGUGAAAUCUGGAUGAAAGUUCUGCUGUACAUGGUUGAUCUGAUGCCUGUGUAAGUUAAGGCCACCGUCCAGCUGUGUGCUUUGCCACCAUGCAGAGAAGCAGUAGGAUUCAAGGUUUAAGAUCACUUGGGUCUUCUGCUAAUUAGAAACAACUUCAGGGGUCAAUCUAAUCUGCAUCACUAGUGACUAGUUUUAUCAUCUGUAGAAAGUUUAUUUUAGCAUCAGUAGCCUGACAGGCCUAUUUGUGCAGGGAGGUUACAUAGGAACCUGCAUUUGCU